rnacentral:lncRNA from 1 species
CAGCUCCAUUCAAUUUUGCAACACUUUAAUAUUUUAGACCUACUAUACAAGGCUACUACCUUGUAGUGCCAUUUUUAAGCUUAUGUAGAUUAGGAACAUCAAUUGCUUACUUGAUUGUCUUACACAUUAACACACAUUAUUGGGACUCUGAGGUCAUGUAAGUCAUCGUUAAAAGUAUUAAAAUAUAGAAGCAUUAAGCUGACAC